GAAUUAAAGGAUUUUUAGAAUUUUUAAAUGGGGAAAUGAGUAAAAGAGGUUUCUUGAAGGAUAAUUCCUAGAAAGAUAAUACCCUGAUCCCAUCAAUCCAAAUCAAAAUCUAAAUAAAUUAAUAUUCUUUACGAUUUUCUCUCUGUGACAGAACAAACACCUGCCCGCCGCUGAAAAGGGGUAUUCCCCGCGGUGCCCCCAAGGAUGAGAUUCUACAGCAUCCUCCCUCCCCCCUCUUUCCCCUCUUUCCCCCUCUUUUCGCACAAAGCGGAAAUCGGAAAAAACGCAGCGAGACAAAAGGAAAGCGAUAGAGAGAGAGCCAAAGAGAUACUCCCACAGGGCCAAGUGGUUAAAGCGGACUUGGCCCAGUGGCACAGUGGCAGUGGUGAGUCCUGCCAUUUGUUUUAAAGCCACGGGGAGGGGUGGGUGGCGGGGGAGGUGUAUCAGGGAACAGAGCUUAGUGACGGUGUCAGGCAGAUAAACAAAAGUUCUUCGUGUCCGGGAGGAACCACAGAGACAAAAGCCCAACAAAAGCCAACUGGACAAGAGAGACAACCGAUAUUGCGACUGCAAUACACUCAUUUUGGAUAAAGCAAAAGCGAAAGAGAGAGAGACUGCUACCUAUAUUCAUUUUUUUUGUUGGUCAACUCCUGGACACCGUCUCUUCAUCCAUGCCACGCCCUGGAGCAUCCGCCUUUCCAACCACCCACCCCCCCGCUUUUGCAUCCCCUGGAGCGUGGCCACCUCUGACCCGUCAAAUGAAAUGGGCACCACCACCACUACCAACCGGCCGGACGAGCCUGGGAAAACUACUAUCCUUUGUGGAGGCAGGAAGCAUUUCCACUCCCCCCCAGAAAACUCUGCGCCGAUGAUUUAUUGCACUUUUGACGUUAUUGAUAUUUCAUUUGUUUGCGAUGAAGUCAUUUAGUGGCGGACAACACAGGGAAAAGGAUCCUACCAGGAUUUAUGUAGGGCAAGCUGCCAGCAGUGGCUCCUCCGAGGAAUCCUCGACAGCUGCCGGCUCCAGCCUGCUGCCAGCAGCCGCUACUCCGAGGAAUCCUCGCCAGCCGCCGGCUCC